GGUCCAACGAAUCAGACGAGAAGAAGGUUUAGGGUGUUGAAAUGCCCAUGUCAAAGCAUUGUGAAGUCAGGUCAAGUCACC